AUUUAGCCUACUUACUGCAUAGGUUCAUAUGGGAUGAUACUUUAAGCACAUUGAUUUAGCCUGCUUACUGCAUAGGUUCAUAUGGGAUGAUACUUUAAGCACAUUGAUUUAGCCAGUGCUUACUGCAUAGGUUCAUAUGGGAUGAUACUUUAAGCACAUUGAUUUAGCCUGCUUACUGCAUAGGUUCAUAUGGGAUGAUACUUUAAGCACAUUGAUUUAGC